GAUGAAGAACGUAGCGAAAUGCGAUAAGUAAUGUGAAUUGCAGAAUUCAGUGAAUCAUCGAAUCUUUGAACGCACCUUGCACCCUUUGGCAUUCCGAAGGGUAUGCUCGUUUGAGUGUCAUUGUACUCUCACUCUCCCGAUCUUUGGAUCGGGAGUGGUGGACUUGGGUGUUGCUGCUUUACCGUGGCUCACCUCAAAUGGAUUCGUGCAACUCCUGGUUGGACAUAGUACGGCGUGAUAAGUGUCUUCGCCGGCACCUCACUAGAGGGUGGUUGACCGGGAGCUCUGUGCUUCAAACCGUCUUCGGACAACAACUGACAACUUGACCUCAAAUCGAGUAGGACCACCCGCUGAACUUAAGCAUAUCAAUAAGCGGAGGA
rnacentral:misc_RNA from 1 species